rnacentral:rRNA from 1 species
UAGGGAAUCUUCGGCAAUGGACGGAAGUCUGACCGAGCAACGCCGCGUGAGUGAAGAAGGUUUUCGGAUCGUAAAGCUCUGUUGUUAGAGAAGAACGUUGGUAGGAGUGGAAAAUCUACCAAGUGACGGUAACUAACCAGAAAGGGACGGCUAACUACGUGCCAGCAGCCGCGGUAAUACGUAGGUCCCGAGCGUUGUCCGGAUUUAUUGGGCGUAAAGCGAGCGCAGGCGGUUCUUUAAGUCUGAAGUUAAAGGCAGUGGCUUAACCAUUGUACGCUUUGGAAACUGGAGGACUUGGGUGCAGAAGGGGGGGGUGGAAUUCCAUGUGUAAGGGUGAAAUGCGUAGAUAUAUGGAGGAACACCGGGGGGGAAAGGGGCUCUCUGGUCUGUAACUGACGCUGGGGGUCGAAAGCGUGGGGAGCAAACAGG